rnacentral:rRNA from 1 species
UACGUAGGGGGCAAGCGUUGUCCGGAAUCAUUGGGCGUAAAGCGCGCGUAGGCGGCCCGGUAAGUCCGUUGUAAAAGUCGAAGGCUCAACCUUCGAAAGCCGAUGGAUACUGCCGGGCUAGAGUCCGGAAGAGGCGAGUGGAAUUCCUGGUGUAGCGGUGGAAUGCGCAGAUAUCAGGAGGAACACCGGUGGCGAAGGCGGGUCUCUGGGCCGUAACUGACGCUGAGGAGCGAAAGCGUGGGGAGCGAACAGG